AUCAGGGGUAAACCUGUGGAACUCGAACGAGCGAACGGGGAGAUUCAAUGUUCUCCGUCGGGUCCGCGGAGGGGCGCUGACGUCGCACGUUCGCGUGCGGCGCUCGUCUYUUCGUGCGAUUCGCGGAGUGCGUGCACUCCUCCCUUAGUAAAACACCGCGACCCGUUGCYGUGUGGGUCGAACGCGCCGUGCGGAUGUCCCGCCUCGAUAUUCGAGGUGGAUCCGCGGCGUCGCGGCUCACGGGCGACGGUAAAGAACGAGGUUCGCGUCCGCCAUUGGCGUCCUCGGCGCGGCGGCGGCUCUCCUCGCAUCGUCUCGGCGCGCAAGCGUCGCGGCGGUCGAGCGAGGUCCGCGUCUGCUGCGUCAGCAAGGACGGGACGCGUCCCGGUCGGCGGUGGUUUGUUUCGGGCACUCACAGGACCC
rnacentral:rRNA from 2 species